AGUCCAAGUUCAAGAACAUUUCCAGAUGUUAUGGAUACCUGGGCCAGGUGGCCCUUACCUGACGUAGAAAGCCAAGAUUCUGGAGCCCAGAAAGGCAGGCCAGGAGUGGGAAGAGCAGGCCCAGGAUGGAUUUUCUGUCAUCACUGCUCAGGGUCUAGGAGCUGGAGCAGUGUGGUAUCCCUACCCGGCCCGGCAGCUGAAGACGGGGGAAACUGAGGCCCAGAGAGGUUCUAGACCUGCCAGAAAGUGCUGGAUCCAGGAUACAGAACAUUAGCUAAAGCUGAGCUAUGGCAGACCUCGGUUUCCUUGUACCUAAAAGUGGACCAGCCUUAUGUUACAGCCACAGCCCAGGCUGCAGCAGAAGCUUAAAUGGAAUCGUGAGUUCUGCCAUGUACUCUGCUUCAGAAGUUCCGGGGAGCAGAGGACACUCGAGGUCGCAUCCUCAGUGUGGCCUGGAUCCUUCUCCCCUUUUGUUCUCCUGGAGAACGUCUUGCAGUAUAGCUGAUCCUGGAUGUCGGAGAGGUCACAUGUGACUCUGAGCAGUAUGUCUGGCGUGGAGGCGUAAGAGAGGCCUGAUGCCCACGGAGGAUUUCACGUGUUAACAGGAUGGCCCUGUAUACAGAAGCAACCAAGGGCCCCAGCACGGGGACACCAGCACCGGAUAGCACCUCAUAAGGACAAAACACUGAAUUUCUCCUUUGCCCUCUAGUGGAAGUCAUCUGCGAUCCCUCCGGGGGUGAGUAUUAUGUGUGCCCUGAGAUGGUCCCUGAGGGCGGCCAUAUGGACCCGCGUGCUGCCAGGCUGGCUGUGUGCCCCAGAUCCUGAGCUGUCGGUGGAGAUAGGGGUCGAGCCCAGAGACCCCAGCCAGAAUUACUUUGGCACGUGUUUUCAUUUCUACCUGAACUUUGAAAAGCAUGGACAUUCCCCCAAAUCCAUUUUCCUCGUUUGCUGGGGCAGACGCCGCUCGUUUAUGGCCCUGGGAAGGAAGACAUCACACCUCAAGUGCCAUUCCGAUCCCAGAAUGUCAUCAGGACCACCCCCGCGCUGAGACUUUUCACCUGCAACACUGAGGCUCAGAGAGGGCACGUGAGGGCCCCAUAGCCACACAGCAAACAGAAGGAAAGUAACUGCUGAAGACGCCCCCAGGGACCCAGCCGGAGGCCCCAGUCCAGCAGGGGCAGAGAGCCCGGGGUGGAAAGGGCCAGAAAGCAGGGGAGGGGCAGAGAGAGAAACACACACAGAAUCCGAAGCAGGC